CAGAAAAUAGUUUUAUUAAAAAUGUUGGUUUUGGAGACCGAAGAUUUAGUUUUAUUAUUAAUUUUCUGA
rnacentral:tRNA from 1 species